CCCAAAGUGCUGGGAUUACAGGCAUGAGCCACCAUGCCCAGCCCCUCUUCAAUUUUUUUCAUCUAUGUUUUAUAGACUUCUUAAUUGUAGCCAGGGCCAACAUGUGUCAUUGAGAUUUUCAUUCAAUUUUUAAACACUUUAAGUCCCACAGACAACAUCAUGUCAGGUCUUUAGGAUUUUGGAGUUGAGAUUUGGUUUUCUCCCUCCACCAACCCUUCUUGAUAUGAGUUGAUUUUGUCACUCCUUUCAAAUUCAUAUAUUGGAGUCCUAAUUCCUGGUGCCUAAUGUGACCUUAUUUGAAAAUAAGGUUAUUGUAGAUAUAAUUAGUUAAGAUGAGGUAGGAUGGUCCCCUAAAUCAAUAUGAUUGGUGUUCUUUAAAAAGUGGGAACACACAUACUCAGGGAGGACACUUCGAGAACCUAAAAACAUAGAUGGGUAUGCAUCUACAAGCCAAGAAACUCCAAAGCUUGCUAGCAAACCGCCAGAAGCUAUAAGAAAGGGAUGGAACGGGUUUUUCCCUCACAGCUCAUGGAAGAAACCAACAGUGCCAACACCUUGAUCCUGGACUUCUGGCCUCCAGAACUGUGAGGCUAUAUAUCUUCUGCAAUACCUUCAUCUGCCUGUAGGUGUAAAGUUAAAAUUCAGCUCCUCUGCCAAGGUAAGAAAUUAGAUAACUGGCUAAAAUAAGUUAUUUCAGUGUAUACUGCUCAGGUGAUGGGUGCACCAAAAUCUCACGAAUCACCACUAAAGAACUUACUCAUGUAACCAAAUAACAGUUGAUCCCCCAAAACCUAUA